GACGAACUGUGCAAACGUUAUUCGGAAUCACUGGGCUUGAAGAGUGCGUAGGCGGUUUCGUAAGUAGGGGGUGAAAGCCCCCGGCUCAACCGGGGAAUUGCGCCCUAAACUGCGAGGCUGGAGUGAGGUAGGGGUGUGUGGAACUUCUAGUGGAGCGGUGAAAUGUGUUGAUAUUAGAAGGAACGCCGGUGGCGAAAGCGACACACUGGACCUUGUCUGACGCUGAGGCACGAAAGCCAGGGGAGCAAACGGG
rnacentral:rRNA from 1 species